UACGUAGCAGCGAGCGUUGUUCGGAAUUACUGGGCGUAAAGAGUGUGUAGGCGGUGCUCUAAGUUCGGUGUGAAAUCUCCUGCUUAACUGGGAGGGUGCGCCGGAAACUGGAGUGCUUGAGCGUGGGAGAGGAAAGCGGAAGUUCCUGGUGUAGCGGUGAAAUGCGUAGAUAUCAGGAGGAACACCUGUGGUGUAGACGGCUUUCUGGACCAUAGCUGACGCUGAGACACGAAAGCGUGGGUAGCAAACAGG
rnacentral:rRNA from 1 species